rnacentral:rRNA from 1 species
AACGAACGCUGGCGGCAGGCCUAACACAUGCAAGUCGAGCGCACCUUCGGGUGAGCGGCGGACGGGUUAGUAACGCGUGGGAACGUGCCCUUCUCUACGGAAUAGCCUCUGGAAACGGAGAGUAAUACCGUAUACGCCCUUUGGGGGAAAGAGUUAUCGGAGAAGGAUCGGCCCGCGUUAGAUUAGGUAGUUGGUGGGGUAACGGCCUACCAAGCCUACGAUCUAUAGCUGGUUUUAGAGGAUGAUCAGCAACACUGGGACUGAGACACGGCCCAGACUCCUACGGGAGGCAGCAGUGGGGAAUCUUAGACAAUGGGGGCAACCCUGAUCUAGCCAUGCCGCGUGAGUGAUGAAGGCCUUAGGGUCGUAAAGCUCUUUCGCCUGUGAUGAUAAUGACAGUAGCAGGUAAAGAAACCCCGGCUAACUCCGUG